rfam:Homo sapiens chromosome 16, GRCh38 reference primary assembly.
CCCCGGCUGGCUCAGUCAGUAGAUCAUGAGACUCUUAAUCUCAGGGUCGUGGGUUCACGCCCCACACUGGGCG